rnacentral:misc_RNA from 1 species
CGAGCGUCAUUUCAACCAAUCAAGCCUCGGCUUGGUCUUGGGGUUUGCGGUCCCGCAUCCCCUAAACUCAGUGGCGGUGCGAUUGAGCUCUGAGCGUAGUAGUUCUUCUCGCUAUAGGGUCUCGGUCGUUACUUGCCAUCAACCCCCCCAUUUUUUAUCAGGUUGACCUCGGAUCAGGUAGGGAUACCCGCUGAACUUAA